rnacentral:rRNA from 1 species
UACGGAGGAUGCAAGCGUUAUCCGGAAUGAUUGGGCGUAAAGCGUCCGCAGGUGGCAAUGUAAGUCUGCUGUCAAAGCGUCUGGCUCAACCAGAUAAAGGCAGUGGAAACUACAUAGCUAGAGUAAGGUAGGGGUAGAGGGAAUUCCUGGUGUAGCGGUGAAAUGCGUAGAGAUCAGGAAGAACACCGGUGGCGAAAGCAGCUCUCUGGGACGGUACUGACGCUGAGACGCGAAAGCGUGGGGAGCGAACAGG